UACCCGCAGUCCGAGUGGUGGUCGAUCUUAUUGGGCCUAAAGCGUCCGUAGCCGGUCUGGAAAAUGCCUGGGUAAAUCGUCUGGCUCAACCAAACGAAUUCCGGGUAGACUACCAGACUUGGGACCGGUUGAGGGAGAGGGUACUUCAGGGGUAGGAGUGAAAUCCUGUAAUCCCUGAAGGACCGCCAGUGGCGAAGGCGCUCUCCUAGAACGGGUCCGACAGUGAGGGACGAAAGCCAGGGGAGCAAACCGGAUUAGAUACCCGGGUAGUCCUGGCCGUAAACGAUGCGGGCUUUGCAUUGGGGAUCCUACGAGGGUGCCCAGUGCCGAAGCGAAGGCGUUAAGCCCGCGCCUGGGAAGUACGGUCGCAAGGCUGAAACUUAAAGGAAUUGGCGGGGAGCACCGCAAUGGGAGGAGCGUGCGGUUU
rnacentral:rRNA from 1 species